UACAGAGGUCUCAAGCGUUGUUCGGAUUCAUUGGGCGUAAAGGGUGUGUAGGUGGCGCCGUAAGUCGGGUGUGAAAUUUCGGAGCUUAACUCCGAAACUGCAUUCGAUACUGCGGUGCUUGAGGACUGGAGAGGAGACUGGAAUUCAUGGUGUAGCAGUGGAAUGCGCAGAUAUCAGGAGGAACACCGGUGGCGAAGGCGGGUCUCUGGGCAGUAACUGACGCUGAGGCGCGAAAGCGUGGGGAGCAAACAGG
rnacentral:rRNA from 1 species